rnacentral:rRNA from 1 species
CGGAUCGCAGGCUGCAACCCGCCUGCGUGAAGUCGGAAUCGCUAGUAAUCGCGGAUCAGCAUGCCGCGGUGAAUACGUUCCCGGGCCUUGUACACACCGCCCGUCACACCAUGAGAGUCGGGAACACCCGAAGUCCGUAGCCUAACAGCAAUGAGGGCGCGGCCGAAGGUGGGUUCGAUAAUUGGGGUGAAGUCGUAACAAGGUAAC